ACGUAGGUGGCAAGCGUUACUCGGAUUCACUAGGCGUAAAGCGUAUGUAGGCGGGUGUUUAAGUCCGUUGUGAAAUUUUCCGGCUCAACUGGAAACGGCCAACGGAUACUGGACAUCUUGAGUGAGACAGAGGAAACUGGAAUUCCCAGUGUAGCGGUGAAAUGCGUAGAUAUUGGGAGGAACACCAGCGGCGAAGGCGGGUUUCUGGGUCUUCACUGACGCUGAGAUACGAAAGCCGGGGGAGCAAACAG
rnacentral:rRNA from 1 species